rnacentral:tRNA from 1 species
GCUGGAAUGGCCGAGUCGUUAAGGCGAUAGAUUUGAAUUGUCAUUAUCUAUUACUCUCUGAGUGCGUAGGUUCAAAUCCUGCUUCCAGCG